rnacentral:rRNA from 1 species
AGCAGCAGCCGCGGUAAUACGUAGGUGGCGAACGUUGUCCGGAAUUAUUGGGCGUAAAGGGAGCGCAGGCGGACAUAUAAGUCCAUCUUAAAAGUGCGGGGCUCAACCCCGUGAGGGGAUGGAAACUGUAUGCCUUGAGUGUAGGAGAGGAAAGCGGAAUUCCCAGUGUAGCGGUGAAAUGCGUAGAUAUUGGGAGGAGCACCAGUGGCGAAGGCGGCUUUCUGGAUUGCAACUGACGCUGAAGCUCGAAAGCCAGGGGAGCGAACGGGAUUAGAGACCCGAGUAGUCCCUGUCUCUUAUACA